AACGAGACUACAUCACCCUGUUUAAUUUCCUGUCAAUCCGGAUAAUUUAGUGGUCUGCACAUACAAAGCUAUGGUUGACUAAACUUGGUGCCACUCUUACCUCCUACAUCGAGAGAGAUCUGUCCUGACGAGGUGCCGGCAUCGUUGACAGCCACACAGUCUGGAAAGGUUGACCUCACUGACCUUGAACUGGCCGACUGAGGGUCUUUUUGAAGUCCAGUGUGGGCUUCCUGGAAAACCCGGCUCGGAAGUCAAUGGUGCUGAGACCUGAGAUACGGACUGAGUGUCUUCCUUCACUAGAGGUCUGCAGUAAAAAGAGGAGAUAAUAUAUAGAAAUGUAUGUCCAGGACUGAUGUGACUCAGAACUACUGGUUAGUAGAUUUGUGCUUCUAACUUUUUCUUCAUGACAAUGUCUUAAUAUGCUGUGCGAGAUCAGUUCCUAUAUAAAACAAGUGCUUUUUAUGGUAAAAUCUUAUUAAUCAAAUUAAAACAGCUGUUUGAUAAAUAUUA